UACAGAGGGCGCGAGCGUUGUCCGGAAUCACUGGGCGUAAAGGGCGCGUAGGUGGCGGCAUAAGGCCGUGGUGAAAGUCUGGGGCUCAACCCCAGAUCGGCCAUGGCAACUGUGUCGCUAGGGCACUGUAGAGGCAGAUGGAAUUCCGGGUGUAGCGGUGGAAUGCGUAGAGAUCCGGAAGAACACCAGGGGCGAAGGCGGUCUGCUGGGCAGUGAACCCGCAAGGGUUCAAUAGCCGACACUGAGGCGCG
rnacentral:misc_RNA from 1 species